AAGUUUUUGGAGGACUUAAUCAUGAGUGGAGCUGCUGCUGAAGCUCCACUUCAAACAAGCAAGCUGGUGAGGACGUUGUGCAUCUCAGCCUUUCCUCAGUGCAAGGCUGGGCAGACACGGGAAGCACUGCCUGCAGCAGCACCAGCUGAGCUCUGUGUGCCAGAGGAAGGAAUGCGGCGUCUGGAGGAGCAGGAGGAGGAGACCCUGCGUGACUCUGCGGGGCCGUUCCUCACAGCCUGCCACUGACAGACGUUGUGGGGCACUGCAGAGCCCGUUGGUGCGGAGGAGGUUUGUUCUGGAGGUCCUGAUGACGGCACAGGCAUGAAGCAGCCCAGAGCUCGUCGGUGCGGAGAGACUGCGUAUUGCGUUGUGAAGGGAGAGACGGAGGAGGGGUUUGAACAGCGUUGCGCAGGAAUGAAAGAAGCUGGUAAGAGAAGAGGCUGCGGCACUUCAAAGUGUGCUGUGGAUGGGCAGCGCGUUGACAACCCAAGGGUGGCACCAGGAGAUGCAGCGCAGCCCUCUCCAGCAGCAGGGUGCAUUUAUUCGUCUUGCUAAUUCUUGAAGUAGAAGGCAGGAGACGGGCAGCGGUACUGCAGCUCGUCUGCGACUUUGAAGCUAAGUUGGGAAGUGGAAGAUGUGGAUGUGAAAGAAGAACUCAGUUACUGGGACGCUCCCUUCUCUUCCCCUAGCUGUCCCCUUGCCUCAGCCCGGGUUCCCCUUGCAUUCCUGUAGGUUUCCCUUCCAUCCCCCUGGCUGCCCUGUGCUUUCCCCAAGGUUGCCCUUUCCUUUCCCAUGACAGCCCACCCACAAUUCCCUCAGCGCCCCAAUAGCCCCCUCAGUAUUUCCUAUCCAAGAACCUGUAGCUACCCCACGACCC